UGUGGGAUACUGGAAGAGGACCCGCAGAUACACGCCAGGGCAAUGUGUGUCCCUAAUAUGGAAAAAGAAGCAUGGUACAGGGAGGAUGAGGCAACCAUGGCUGAUUAAGUCUACUGAUAGUUGUACUUUUCCUUUGGACCAUUGAAGUCAAAUUGAAAACAGAAGAUAGUAAUGACAAGUAUUAAAUUAGAAACAGCAGAGAGAGAGAGAGUGUGUGUGUGAAUAUACAACUGAAAGAUAGAGGUAGCAAGGUAACAGUUAGGUGCUCAUGUUGAGAUGGAAGAGACGCAAUUUGUCAAGUUUAUAAUAAAAGUUGAAAGAUUCACCGAGAAAUGGCUACAGGGAGGGACUUUAAUUCAUCCCUUACCUUGAAAGUCAGUUUGAACAGUAAAGUUUAUCUGGCUGGAAAGAGAAACAAUAAUUUUGUGAGAAGCAAAUAAAGUCGAUAUAAGAGACAGAACAAUAAACAACUGUGGCUGGGUUAUUUUUGAUCAUCGUAGAAGUUAAUAGGGAUAAUUAGCCUGAAAGUGUGUUUAUUCAGUGUUUUCAGGUUGUUUGUUGCAAGAUUAGUGAAAACUUGAAACAUCAUCAUCCCUUUCGUCAUUCAUUGGAAGUUCUACUUUCUUUUUAAAGUUAUUGGUCUUUACGAGGAUCGUGGCAAAUAUAGCUUGAACAGACCAUUUAGGUCAACUCACCUACUCAUGUUUACAAAAACACAAGUUGCUGGAA